AUUGAACGCUGGCGGCACGCUUUACACAUGCAAGUCGAACGGCAGCGCGGGCUUCGGCCUGGCGGCGAGUGGCGAACGGGUGAGUAAUGCAUCGGAACGUGCCCAGUAGUGGGGGAUAGCCCAGCGAAAGCCGGAUUAAUACCGCAUACGACCUGAGGGUGAAAGCGGGGGACCGAAAGGCCUCGCGCUAUUGGAGCGGCCGAUGUCGGAUUAGCUAGUUGGUGGGGUAAAGGCUUACCAAGGCGACGAUCCGUAGCUGGUCUGAGAGGACGACCAGCCACACUGGGACUGAGACACGGCCCAGACUCCUACGGGAGGCAGCAGUGGGGAAUUUUGGACAAUGGGGGCAACCCUGAUCCAGCCAUGCCGCGUGCGGGAAGAAGGCCUUCGGGUUGUAAACCGCUUUUGUUCGGGAAGAAAUCCUCUGGGCUAAUACCCCGGGGGGAUGACGGUACCGGAAGAAUAAGCACCGGCUAACUACGUG
rnacentral:rRNA from 1 species